GUAGGUGGCAAGCGUUGUCCGGGAAUUAUUGGGGCGUAAAGCGCGCGCAGGCGGUUCUUUAAGUCUGAUGUGAAAGCCCACGGGCUCAACCGUGGAGGGUCAUUGGAAACUGGAGAACUUGAGUACAGAAGAGGAAAGCGGAAUUCCACGUGUAGCGGUGAAAUGCGUAGAGAUGUGGAGGAACACCAGUGGCGAAGGCGGCUUUCUGGUCUGUAACUGACGCUGAGGCGCGAAAGCGUGGGGAGCAAACAGGAUUAGAUACCCUGGUAGUCCACGCCGUAAACGAUGAGUGCUAAGUGUUAGGGGGUUUCCGCCCCUUAGUGCUGCAGCCAACGCAUUAAGCACUCCGCCUGGGGAGUACGGCCGCAAAGGCUG
rnacentral:rRNA from 1 species